UCUAAUUUCAAUAAUUGAGUAUUUAUUACUAAAAAAAAAUUUGGGGUUUUCACACUAUAAAGUGAUCAUACAAUUUUCAAAUUUUACACACACAAACAAAGCAAAUUAUGGCUAAAACUCUCAGGUUUUUUCAAAUCAUGUUUGCUUUUCUUUUUAUAUUUACCAUUGUAAUCGAAGGCCUCCCUGAAUAUAAUCACUUUCAUAAGUGUUAUAAUGAUAAUGAUUGCCCUAAAACUAUGUGUAUACCUCCCAAAGUUCCAAAGUGCAUAAGGAAGUGUUGUCGAUGUAUUUGAGAAUUGAAUAUCAUCUUCUACAGUUAUAAAAAUGGCUGCCAUUAAAAAAAAAAUUUAUAAAAAUGGCUAUUAAUUAGUGCUACCGUUGAUAAUAAUUUUGCCUUCUCCACUAUUUGUGGUAAAUUGUAAUAAUGAUAAUACCAUUUCGAUUAGUUAAUAAUGAAAAAGUAAAGCCAAACAAUCCCUUUUGUUUUGGCGUCUAGUUAAUAAUGAGAAUACUAAUUUGUGUAUUUUCAUGUUACCGUAAAAUAAAAAUUAUAAUUUACAUGCA